GACGAACGCUGGCGGCGUGCUUAACACAUGCAAGUCGAACGCUGAAGCCCUGGCUUUUGUUGGGUUGGAUGAGUGGCGAACGGGUGAGUAACACGUGAGUAACCUGCCCUCUUCUUUGGGAUAACGCCCGGAAACGGGUGCUAAUACUGGAUAUUCACUGAUCUUCGCAUGGGGGUUGGUGGAAAGGUUUGUUCUGGUGGGGGAUGGGCUCGCGGCCUAUCAGCUUGUUGGUGGGGUGAUGGCCUACCAAGGCUUUGACGGGUAGCCGGCCUGAGAGGGUGACCGGUCACAUUGGGACUGAGAUACGGCCCAGACUCCUACGGGAGGCAGCAGUGGGGAAUAUUGCACAAUGGGCGAAAGCCUGAUGCAGCGACGCCGCGUGAGGGAGGGAGGCCUUCGGGGUGUAAACCUCUUUCGCUCAUGGUCAAGCCGCAACUGUGGGUUGUGGUGAGGGUAGUGGGUAAAGAAGCGCCGGCUAACUACGUG
rnacentral:rRNA from 1 species